GGUGAUUGUGGCAGUGGUAGAGGGUUUGGCUAGCAUGCACAAGAUCCAGGGUUCAACCCCCAGCACCACCU
rnacentral:tRNA from 1 species